rnacentral:lncRNA from 1 species
UCCAAGUGCUGGGAUCAAGAGUGUGCACCAGUACUCCUGGCUAAGUUAAAACUUUGGCAGGUCAUCCACAUUGUAUUUCUGGGUGACUCUGUCAUUUUCUACUAGUUCAUACUAGUAGUGUAUGAACAUGCUUCAUUCUCACGAGAUGAAAAUAUAUGGGCUAAGAGUGAAGGUCAGUGGUACAGUGCUUGCUCACACACAUGAGGCACCAUAAACUAAAAUGUAAACAUUUUCUGGUUACUAGUUAGUGCAAGGAUCAACUCAUAUAGAGUUGUUUACUGACUUUUUACAUUUUGUCUUUUGACAAAUGCCUGUUAUUAUUUUUGCAUAUAUAUAUAAUAUAUUAUAUAUAUAUAUUUAUAUUUCAGUGUAUAUAUAACAUAUAGUAAUAUAUAGUAAUAAAGGCAGAUUCUCAAUAUCUUUAGUAUUAAUUUUUUUAUCUUAAUGCCUUUUCUAUUCGCUAUUUGAUUACAGUUAUAUUGCUAUAUUUUCAUUUUGAAAAUCAAACGGUAGAGACAAAGCUAAAGUUCCUUUGCAUACUUGACUGAGUCCUGUCUCCUUUUCUGCCUUCUGUGGCUAUAAGUUUUAUGUGUAUAGCUAGCUCUGCAUUCAAGAGGUUUUUUAACCUCAUUAAGGUUGAAAGUUCAAGGCUAGUCUGAGCUACAGUGAGUUGGAGACUAGCCUAAGCUGCACAUAUGU